AUUGAACGCUGGCGGCAGGCCUAACACAUGCAAGUCGAGCGGACCACUUCGGUGGUGAGCGGCGAACGGGUGAGUAACACGUAGGUUAUCUGCCCAUCAGACGGGGACGACGAUUGGAAACGAUCGCUAAUACCGGAUAGGACGAAAGAUUAAAGGUGCUUCGGCACCACUGAUGGAUGAGCCUGCGGCGCAUUAGCUAGUUGGUAGGGUAAAGGCCUACCAAGGCGACGAUGCGUAGCCGACCUGAGAGGGUGAACGGCCACACUGGGACUGAGACACGGCCCAGACUCCUACGGGAGGCAGCAGUAGGGAAUCUUCGGCAAUGGGCGAAAGCCUGACCGAGCAACGCCGCGUGAAUGAUGAAGGCCUUCGGGUUGUAAAAUUCUGUUAUAAGGGAAGAAUGGCUCUAGUAGGAAAUGGCUAGAGUGUGACGGUACCUUAUGAGAAAGCCACGGCUAACUACGUGCCAGCCGCCGCGGUAAUAC
rnacentral:rRNA from 1 species